rnacentral:rRNA from 1 species
UUAGAGUUUGAUCCUGGCUCAGGAUGAACGCUGGCGGCGUGCCUAAUACAUGCAAGUCGAACGAAUCUCUUUUAGAGAUGAGUGGCGAACGGGUGAGUAAUACAUAGGUAACCUGCCCCUGUGCGGGGGAUAACAGGAGGAAACUCCUGCUAAUACCGCAUAGCCAUGAGCACCGCAUGGAGCUCAUGCCAAAUAUCCUUUCGGGGAUAGCACAGGGAUGGACCUAUGGCGCAUUAGCUUGUUGGCGGGGCAACGGCCCACCAAGGCAACGAUGCGUAGCCGGCCUGAGAGGGCGGACGGCCACAUUGGGACUGAGACACGGCCCAGACUCCUACGGGAGGCAGCAGUAGGGAAUUUUCGGCAAUGGGGGAAACCCUGACCGAGCAACGCCGCGUGAGCGAAGAAGGCCUUCGGGUCGUAAAGCUCUGUUGUAAAGGAAGAACGGCGCAUACAGGAAAUGGUAUGCGAGUGACGGUACUUUACCAGAAAGCCACGGCUAACUACGUGCCAGCAGCCGCGGUAAUACGUAGGUGGCGAGCGUUAUCCGGAAUCAUUGGGCGUAAAGAGGGAGCAGGCGGCCGCAAGGGUCUGUGGUGAAAGACCGAAGCUAAACUUCGGUAAGCCAUGGAAACCGGGCGGCUAGAGUGCGGAAGAGGAUCGUGGAAUUCCAUGUGUAGCGGUGAAAUGCGUAGAUAUAUGGAGGAACACCAGUGGCGAAGGCGACGGUCUGGGCCGCAACUGACGCUCAUUCCCGAAAGCGUGGGGAGCAAAUAGGAUUAGAUACCCUAGUAGUCCACGCCGUAAACGAUGGUCACUAAGUGUCGGGGGUCAAACCCCGGUGCUGCAGUCAACGCAAUAAGUGACCCGCCUGAGUAGUACGUUCGCAAGAAUGAAA